rnacentral:rRNA from 1 species
CGGCAGGCCUAACACAUGCAAGUCGAGGGGCAGCGGGAGUGCUUGCACUCGCCGGCGACCGGCGCACGGGUGCGGAACGCGUAUCGAAUCUGCCUCUAUCUGGGGGAUACCCCAUGGAAACGUGGAAUAAUACCCCAUAGUAUUACUUUAUCGCAUGAUUUAGUAAUUAAAGAUUUAUCGGACAGAGAUGGCCAUGCGUAUCAUUAGCUAGUUGGUAAGGUAACGGCUUACCAAGGCAACGAUGAUUAGGGGCCCUGAGAGGGGGAUCCCCCACACUGGUACUGAGACACGGACCAGACUCCUACGGGAGGCAGCAGUGAGGAAUAUUGGACAAUGGUGGGAACACUGAUCCAGCCAUGCCGCGUGCAGGAUGACUGCCCUAUGGGUUGUAAACUGCUUUUAUACGGGAAGAAACCCAGGUACGUGUACCUGGCUGACGGUACCGUAAGAAUAAGGACCGGCUAACUCCGUGCCAGCAGCCGCGGUAAUACGGAGGGUCCGAGCGUUAUCCGGAAUCAUUGGGUUUAAAGGGUCCGUAGGCGGGCCUAUAAGUCAGAGGUGAAAGGCCACGGCUCAACCGUGGGACUGCCUUUGAUACUGUAGGUCUUGAGUUACAGUGGGGUUGCCGGAACAUGUGGUGUAGCGGUGAAAUGCAUAGAUAUCACAUAGAACACCAAUCGCGAAGGCAGGUGGCCAACUGUAUACUGACGCUGAUGGACGAAAGCGUGGGGAGCGAACGGGAUUAGAUACCCCGGUAGUCCACGCCGUAAACGAUGGACACUAGCUGUGGGGUUUUCGGACUCCGUGGCCAAGCGAAAGUGAUAAGUGUCCCACCUGGGGAGUACGUUCGCAAGAAUGAAACUCAAAGGAAUUGACGGGGGCCCGCACAAGCGG